UGCCCAGCAACUCCUAUCCCUACCUCCUCGUGGUACAGGCCGGGGUACGAGUAACCUUAGGGAAGAUCGGGUAGCCAACCCCGGUGGAAGCUCUGGUCGUAUGCUGACAGGCAAGG
rnacentral:ribozyme from 1 species